GGAGCCAGGAUCCAUUUAAGCGUUGUAAGACCUUGUUUAAGGGUUGAUAGUGGAGGAUAUCUUGCUGCCUUUAUAACUGCAGCCUUCUGAGGGUAACGGUGUGCUGUGACCGAGUGCUGGACAAGGUCUCUGCUCUGUGCUCUACUUGAUGGGAUAGAAGUGUGACACUGGUCUGGAACCCAAGGCUUCUGAAAGAAGAGGCAAAAUAGUUGGGUGGCUGCAUAACGCUGCCAGCAUGUAUAUAUUAUCCAUCUCUCCCCACCCCGGCCUAACCCAGAUGCUGCAUGACUGAUUGUACCCCAGAGAAGCUCCAGCCUCUUCAGCAGUGUAUUAUUCUCAUUCCUUUUGUAUGGCCAUAAAACUCCCCUGUUCUUGCUUUUCCGAACUGGUAUAACUGGCAUGAGGAAUGCAACAGCUGGUUAACUCUGCAAUGAUCCAAGAGCAGCAGAAGACAAGGAGUGCAGAGGGGGCUGCCUUCAUCUGCCAAGUGUAAAUAAUCAGGGUAUCGGAAGUGAGACUGAGAAGAAGGUGUUUCGCCUGUCAAAGGACAUACAGCCUGAAGAACUGUCUAGAGUGCAGACUGCUGAGGCAGAAGACACUGGAAGGCAAUGCAGUGGUGAAAGGAAACUUCUUGUUCUCAACUUGCAAAUGUAGUAGGUUGAUUUAAGCUGGAAAUAAGAGCAUUUAUGCCUGAGUAAGGAUUUCACAUGGAAAGGUUUGGCUGGAGGUGUAAAGAAGCCCAGGAGAAGGCAGUGAAUGGGACCAUACUGCGGAUAUGACAACAGUGGAGCUAAGCAAUGGCUGCUGCUGAAUUUGGGCUUUGGCCACACACAGAAUUAGAGACUGAGCAUCUGUAAACCCAACCUGUGACAGUUCGGCUCAUUGUGCAUCUGGUGAAUGAGAGACCUCCCGCCUUAAAGCCACUAAAGCAGAGGAAUUUCACCAUCGAUCUGGAGAAGCACUUGAGAGAAUGGGAGUAACAGGGCAAUAAAGAUUGCAAUAUAUCAUCAGACUCAGCUGCUGGCCCGUAUAGAUCAGAGCUGCAUUAAGAUCAUUACAGCCUGCCUGAAGUGAUAUAAAGAGCAAGCCAGCUCUGAGGAGGGAAAGGGGAAGAGCUGCUGAUAAAGAAACAAAACCAAACUGAAGAGGAAAGAGAAAAAUCAACCCCACAAUUUCUUUUUUGCCAGUCCAGACAAAUGCCUUGAAUUUCCACUUUUCUGGAAGCUGCUGUUGGUGAAACACAUGCACAGGUUAAAGCAAAUUGUUAGGGCCCCACUCCCCUAAGGAGCAUCCAUUUCCUCAAAUGAAUGAAUUACACAAAAAGAAAGGAGGAAACAGGCAGAAAAUAGGGAAGAAACAAAAAUGAAGAAUCUAUUUCCUCUGUGACUCGACAUACCAGCAAGAUGCUUCAGCUUGAAGCUCAGGGGUAGUGCUGCUCACCAGGCUGGGAGCUGGGGUUGUGCUUUCCAGUCCCAUUUGCUCUGCUCAGCCCACUGACAAGUGUCCCAUGCUGGCCUGACCCCAUAGCUCUGCCUUGCCAUGUGGGCUGUGCCAGGAGUCUGCCCAGCUGCACCUGGAGCACACAGCUGGAUCUGGUGAUGGGCCCAGAUGCUCUGCCAGAGAAAGCUGUGCUCUGAGCUGAAAAAUGCAAGUGCAGGAGUAAAUCCCAACAGGCUACAUCUGCCUAUGCUUACUGCAGUGGAAUUGGAACCAUUUCUACCAGCUGAUGAUUGGUCCUGCAGGUAUUCAGCUUUCAGGGUGCAUGUUUGUCCCAUGGGCAUUUUCUGCUUUCCAUGUCCCUGCAGAUCACCUGAACUCUCUGAGGCUGUAAAGGCGUCAAACUCAGAGCAAGAGUGACUGUAAAAAGCCAGUCACACUUGGGACUUUUUGUCACUGCAGAUAAAGAUAAGAACAAAUUCCCUCUUCUGGCCCCACCUCAUUAAUUGCCUGGAAGGAAAUGUGCUUUAUUUGUCACCUUCGUACAGAAGAGAUAAGAGUGAUUUCACAUGUGAAGAAUGAAAAAUCUUCCAUUCAUAGAGGAGGAGUGUGAGAUUUCUACUCCUUUGUCCUCAUGCUCCCCCAAAAUGUUUAAUUUCCUGUGGGUUUGCCUGUAGGACUACAAUACCUCCAACAAACUGCCCACUUAAGUAUAUACUCACAGUGCAUUGAGCCAGGUGUGCUAAGCCAUUAAAACACAUUUUUUAUCAGCAGGUGAGGGCUUCUAGUCAAACUGGAGAAACCUUAAUCCUCCCAAACAGAGCGAAACCUCCCUGCAGAUAAAAGACUUGUCUGGCUCGUUCCAGAGGGAGUUGGUGACAUGGCUGCGCUCUCACCUCCUUCUCCCUUAGGAAAAUAUGGCCCUGCGGGAAGAGUGGAGAGGGAAGAUCAAAGGGAGUUGCAGUCUAGCUGCCUGCUUCCAGCAACAGAAAGGCUAACCCGUCAUUAUGAUGAGCAGCCUAUUAGAGGUGAACUGCAAGUGGAAGGGAUGCAUGCUUGGGAUCACUGGCAGACAGGGGAAUUGGGGCAACGCAACUGCGUAGGAGAGAUUUGGGCUUGGGAGGGGACCUUGUUUCUUCCCACUCCUUUGGCAAGGUAAAGCCCAGGUGUGUCCCUGGGAAUCCCUAGCAUUUUAACUCAUUUAGGAGUAUUAAUGAGUGGAUGGUGGUUUUCACCUGCACAGCUUGUAGUUAAUUCUGGGCUGGAUUUCCUGCUGCACCGUGCCUCUACAAAACCUCUCAUUCUCAAUUUCAUCCCUGCCCCAGAGAACAAAAAGCAAAUGUCCUCUUUGAGGAGGCUGUCUUGGGAGGAGGGCAAAAGGGUGAACUUCCUCGAAGGUGUAAAUCAGGGCUAGGAAAGUGAAAUGAUUCUGCAGAAAGUGAGUGCAGCAGUGCUGGAGUGGGAGCAGGCUGGGCAAGUUCUGCACUUUCUCCUCUGACUAAGUGCUGGCUGCCGUGGGAUGGGGUCCAGCUAAUUAUCUGCUUGCAUGAGUUGUGGAGGUUGGGUAAAUAGUCUUAGUGAGACAUUGAAGGGUGUUGGUAAAAGCAUAUUUUUCAGCUGGCUUUUUGAGAUAAGCUAAAUGGAGAUUAUCUGCUCAACAGCUCACCCGCAUGAACUCACAGCAUUAGCUUCACAGUAUCUACUUUACCCAUUCUCUCACUGUAGUCAUCAGCUUACAUCUUUCCAGCACAGAUUUGUAUUCUUAGACUCAAAGAUCAGGCACGGGGAGCCAAAGAUGAGCUGUGGAGCAAUCAAGGCUUAAUUAAUUAGUGAACCUGCAGACUGUUGGUGUGGAGAAGGCUGUAUGGAUGUGGAGACAAUGUAAGGAGUGGGGUUACCUUCACCCUAUGGAUGGACCUGCCCCUACGAUAUGUGUAUCUAGGCUGGCCUGAGACUGAAAAUAUAAUUGCUGGAUAAAGACAGUGCAUAGCCCUGGGUGGCACCACUGCUGCAUUUAGAAAAGGAGCAAAGCACAAUGCCCAACAGCAGGUCGAACUGCUGGAGGGGCUGAAUGUAUCAGGCAGGCCCCUAUCAACCCCCUAAGAGACACUGGGUAUGCAUUUCCCAGCAGGAAACCAGUUUUUCUGGGCACAGUGGAGCAGGACAUGGGCCAUGGUUUCUCCAACUCCUUUGCCCAGUGUUACUGCAGCAUCCAUCCUGGAGCCAGUAUUGCAGUGAAUACAAGAAAUGGGGGGGAUAUGCUAUGGCCUUUUGGGAAGAUUUGGUGUGUCAGGCCGUCCAGACCACAGUGAGAGAUAUCCAGGCUCUUGUUUUAGAUAACGUUGUCAUCUGGCUAUUAGCAUUCUGUGCAUCCUGUAGUUUGUCUGACUUUUAUCCAACUUGCUGCACAGGAAACUGAUAUAUAUAUAUAUUUAUUAUUAUUUUUAAUCUCAGACUAGAAGCUCCAAACAGGGAAUUUCCAUCUAGCAGGCAAGUAGUUAUUAAUAAUAAAUAAAAGCAACCUCUUACAUGGAUGGAGCACCUCUCGUUGAAAGAAAUAGAUCCCAAGGUGUUACACUGACAUGUUUCUACUUUUAGGAAUCAUCUUCAUAUGGAUUUACAGCACAGAGACAUUUUGCCUUGUACCAAAGCAAAAUCACUUUAUCCAGUACUAACAGCAGCAGUCCCAGGGGUUGAAUGAAAGCUGUAUUUGCUGGAAUUAGCAGCUAAUAGUAACUAUGACUUGUUUGACAUAUUUUUAUGAAUAUCCUUUAAUCUCAUCUGAUACUUAGAAACUCUGCCUUUCUGCUUGUCGUGAUGAGAUCUGUGCCCUCACCUUGGUUUGAGCCCAGAGCUCACUUUUGCUGAAGCACUCCAGCACGAACAACCUCUCAACCUUCACCAGCGAGAAUAUUUGCUUUCUGAUAGGCUGAAUUUACAUACUUCUCUUUUUUAUGUGAGCGUGCGUGUGUUAGGAUGAGAAGUUUUAAAACAAACAGAGUUAUCCCCAGCUGCUAAGUUCUGACAUGCACUUUAAAUAGGUAACCCCAGAGAUGUGGUGAGCUGCGAAGGAGGCGAGAGCUAAACUGGCUUAAGCAAUGCACUGAUCACAGAAUUAUCAUCUGCUAUCACACAGUUUGCCAUUAGACCCAGCUGCUGCCAACCUGACCAGUGCAUUUCUUCAAGCUAAGCUAACAAAGCACUUAUUUGUUAUCCAGGGAACUACCUCUAAUAGACUUCCAGUGAAAUAAUAUUUGCUUUCCAACCCUACUUUGAAUCCCACUCACUUUGUUAAAAAGAUUGCCUCUGGCUGUCUCUGCUGGUCUAAUCUAAUAGUUUCUAGUUUGUACAAGCAAAGCGCUUUCAGCCAACUAUAUAAAUAACUUAGAGAGAAGAAGACACUUUUACAGCGCUCUGUGCCGGGUGCUAUAGAACAUGACAGAUUAGUAAAUGACGCCUCAGUGGAGCUCAUCUGGGAACCUCUGUCAGUUGAAUAUGAGCAAUUACAAUAUUGUAUUUGGGCUGAAAGGGUUGUCUGUCUUCUUACAAAAAGGCUAACAAGAAAAAUAAUUCCUGUCUUAUUUCUCCUGUGCAUGAAACUGAUCUAAGUGGCUCUAGCCCCUUUCCUCUUCCCCUCCCAUUUCAGGAGCGGGAGGGGAAAGGGUGGGGGGGAGAAAAGCAAGCAAGGAGAGAAAAGAGGGUUAUUUUCUUUCUGUUUUCACUUUUGGUUUGAAUUGAAAAUGAAGAAAGAAUAAUAUUAGGAGACGGGGCUCCCUGAGGUUUCAGAGUGGAUGUUAUAUCAAUAUAUCAAAGAGCGCUUUCUGCCACCCGCCUCUUCUCCUCCAGCAGUCCGGUGUGCUGCUAAAGGCACGAGUGCCCCAUGCCUGUUGGAGCCGCUCGAUUUAUCUCAGCUCACCUGCUAAGAGCACCGAAGGCCUGGAGGUUCAAAGCGUUGUCCAAGGUUUACCCGUGCUGGGUUUUUUGUUGUUGUUGUUAGAAAUGCUGAGGCAGAGCAUCAUCCAACAGAAAAUAUACCGUGCGAGCUGGGAUUUCCAAAGAGAAAAAAAAAAUCACAUCCUAUUGAAACUGCCUGCAGGACUAGAGGGCUGAUCCCACAUGUGCUCCUCUUGUACUACUCAAAUUACACCACAUAAUCUUCCUUUGUGAUAGUCUGACAUUGGAUUUUGCCUUUAUUUUCCUUUCUGUUAUCACAAUUAUUUUUUUCUGAUGAACCACCUCCAUACCAUGAGUUUAUUUUGUCUUCAUCUUCUCACUGCAGCCAGUUAGUGGGGCUUUUUUCAGACCUGCAAAUAAUUGCAUGCAAUUGCAAGCAUUUGAAUAUACAAUUAUACAGGAGCAGAAAAUUAUGCUCCUAUUAAGCAUGGUCCUGCUCCUACAGAGAGGAAAACUGUCUUUUCCUCUCCAUCCUGCUAUUAAACACUGUGUGCCAUGUCUUGACCAGGCUGUACUUGCUGUUAUUUAGGGAAGUCUGGAACAUGAAGCCAGAGGAGUCUGAGCAUGAGCCUGCUCCUUGCUGUGCUGCACAGACUCUGUCAUUUCUGGGCUGGCAAUCAGUUUCUGUAGCCCAGUAGCUUCUGUAGAAGGACACAGAGAUGUGAUGAGAGGUGACCAAGCAGCUGCCAUUCACUGGAGCCAUGCAGAUCUAAAGUCUGCUUUUGGUUAUGCUCAGGCUGUUGUAUCUGAUGCCUAUGCAUGCUGUGUGCUAGCAGCACUGGGCAGAAUCUGACCCACGGAUUUCUCCCAUGCCAGACAAUCAUGCUGUGCUAAUAUUCAAAAUAUAUCUGAAAACAGAGAUGUGAAACUUAGAUCAUUUCAAGCAAAUGAGCCAGUUUUCAUCCUGAAACAUACAUGAUGCCAUGGGCCCCAUUCAUGGCAGCUGGAAGUGAUGGCAAGCCCUGUGAGAUGAGGGGAGCAGAUUGCCAGCUCCUGAUGCUUGAGAGGUGUGUAACAGCAUUUUGAUAUCUGAUUUCCUCCUCAUUUUGCUUUGCUGGUUCCCAGGUGAUUUAACUGGAGAUUGUCUAUUACCAUGUAGAAUGUACCCAUGCAAUAAAACAGUGAUGCUGGAUGUAAGGUUACCCCUUCAAAAAUAAGGCCUGGGGAGAAAAUUAAAGAUGUCAACAUAGAUGUUUGCAUGAGCGGGCAGCUGUUCUGAACCAGGGGCCUGGGCUCCAUUCACUGCUUUGCCCACUAAGUCCGUGUUUGAUCUGAGACGUGUUACAUCACAUUUGGUGCAUCUGAGCUGUGAGCUCCAUCAGGCAGGCUCCACUCUGCAGCUGUGCAAUAUGCAGAAUGUGAAAAACAGUUCUGUUCUGCACUUGGAUUUGCAUUUAGAAAAUGAAUUCAACCUCUUCCAUUUAUAUAAAAAGCAGACAAUAUCUUCCCCAGGUUUUCAGUACUUCGUCUCAGAGUUCUAAAACAUAAGAGUUUAUUAGCCUGAUUUCAGUCUUGAUCACUUACUUCAGCCUCGAGCACUGUAUUCUUACAGACAGGUGACUGCAACUUUCUGAAGCUCUGCUAAACGCAUCUUAGAAAGAAAAGUUUGCAGGAAGUCUGCCUGUUUGUGGGGCAGAAACAGGCAGCAUUUGGCAGUCUUGGCAGAGUUAGGGUUGUGCUGCAGGGGUCGGUGUGUUUUGGACCAGAUGCCUUAAGCUCUUGGCAGCAGCUGGAGAGGGACCACGGUGGCAGGACAGGGACUGCCUGCACUUAGCAAUAACCAGUCCCCAGCAGUGAGCUUUAGUCUGGUUAUCUCCACUAAAGUCCCCGCCAGCCACACGCCACCAAAAGCUCAGCCCAUGUACUGUCCUUGGAGGGCCAGGCAUGGGACAAGCAGCCUGUAAGACCUGUGUUACUCAGACUCCAGGUGGGAGGAAAGUCAACAUCUAUAUAUCUUUCACAUCCGUAAUUGUAAAGUUGUUAACCUUGCAUUCAGUGCUUGAAUGCUACUGUGAUAGGCACUGGAGAUAAACCUGAGAGCCAGACAUUGGAAUAAUAUUGUGAAUGUGUUGGUUUGGGUUUUUUUAACACACAGAACUAUUACUGACAGGACGUCAGCUGCUGAUGAAGGGCUCUGAAAUAUUUUAUGGGAUGUGACAGCUAAUAAAACAGGUUGUUGUUUUUAAUUGUUUGGCAAGUAGCAGGGAAUUGUGACCAGAUGUGAACCAGGGGCAGGGGAGGCUGCAGGUUUCCCUGAAUUUCUUCCAUGUUUUGCUGUCACCACUAACACCAAAUGUGAAUAAUGUUAGUCCCCUGCCCCCCGUGCCUUUCUGUUUUGCUCAUGUUUGAAAACCAUGCGACCAUAAGGCUCUGCAAAAUGCCCAGGUUAGAAAGCAUCCACACUACACUAUGGAUGUGCACACACACUGCAGGGCAAGAAGGGACCUCCGUGUCUUUGCAUCUCACUCUGCAAAGCUCUGCUUCCCAGAGCUGCUGUGGCUACAGAACUUACUCUUGGUUUCAGCCCCAUGCUUGGCUCCUGCAGCCUGCUGCAUAAUGAGCUCCUAACACUUUCCAUAGUGUGAUGUGCUUUUGGGAGGCUCCAAAGAGCUUAUUAUAUCUCUGUUUAAGAGAUCCAGAGGGACCGUGCAGGGCUUGCAUUGUAUGAAAUGAAAGAUGUCUCAUCAGGUUACACCUCUUAGCUCCUAUCUGUAUAAGCAUUCUGAUAAGUGGUGCAUUUCUUUCUCCAUCCCCCCACUCCCUUUCUCUCUAAUGUAAUCUCUGCCAGAUCUAGUCAAAGCAGAAUAGCUGCAGGGGAUUCAUUAAUCCUAGUCUGGAGCUCACCACCACAACCACCAUCAAAUCAUAAAAAUAAAAGUUUAAAGCACCUCAAUUUAUUAUUCAUAUAGUGUUUGUCCCACUGCCUGCUGCAUCCCCUCCACUGAGAGACCCCUCUCAUUGCUCCAUGCUCUCCUUCUGCUGUCCUGUUGAAUAGUUAUCAAUUCCCCAAGCAGACUUUGGGAUAAAACGAUGCUCCUCCCAUGUGCCGAAAGCUGCCAGAGCUGUGUACACUGGCUCAAGUACAACAGAAACUAAGCCUUGGCCUGGAGCAAUGUAACACCCAGAUAAACAAGUCUGCCAGAAAGAAGCCGGGUUGAGGCGCUGGGCCUGCAGCGCUCAGGGAGAGGCUGAUACCAACACCACAGAUAGCUGUGAGCUGGGGUGGGUCCAGGAAAGGCAACUACUGGAGAAUAAAGGAGGCUGCAUCUCACUUGGCACCCUGUGACUGUCUCCCGUAUCUCAGCUGCCAGACUGAGAGGUGGUCCCAAAUGAUGCAGAGCAAAGGCUCCAGCAGUCUCUCAUGGAGGCUGGACAGGGGAAUCCUGCUUAGAAGAAGAACAAAAAGUCCCUUUGCUCUUCUGCAUCCUGAGAGCUGUUCUGCUGCAAAGCCAUGGACAGCCCUUCAUGGAGGGGCCCGAAGAAGAGGCACAGCUAUGGGGCAUCCUUCUCCUCCUCCUAUUAGGACCUGGCUCUUCCUGUGCAUGCUAAGGAGAAGCUGGCUUGGAGAUGACAUGAGCACUCUCCCAUCCUCAUUUAUCAGCACAAAACAAAUUGGUUUGAAGGAGGAUCGUGUUGAUCACACACUUGAGUGCCAACCCAUUUCCUGCUCCUAUCCACGGGCAGCAAAAGACGGCAGCCCCCAACUUAUCCUCCCUCCUCACUGAAGUGUUCAGGCCAUUUCAACACAGCCCAGAGUGAAGGGCCACGGGGUGCCUUGUACACUGCCUAUGCUAAAGGGAAUAAUUGUUGCAAAAGUGUGCAGGGUGUUUGUCCCCACUGCAGAAAACUCCAGUUUCAUUACGAAUCCUACCAGCGAUAUGCAGUAACUAGAAACCACCAAGCUGGUUUUCCUACCAAGCUUUUUCUUAGGCUUUCCAACUGGGAAGGAUGCCUAAGUAUUAAGCUUAGAAGGCCGCUUGAAAUCGGAAAACAUGGUACACAGCAGCUUGGCUUCAUUUAGGGGGAUUUAGGGCUGAUGAGCAACUCAGGAAAAAAACUUUCCAUGAAAUGAGACUCCAACUUCAUCAGCUGUGGGACAGAACACCAGCAGCCCUGCAGCAAACUCUGGCUGGAGCAAUUGAAUGCUGCAGAUAUGAGGCGGAGGUGAGCUGCUGUGAAACUGGGGGAUAAUUGAUACCUAAUAAGUUUAAGUGCUAUCAGUGGUAUUGUUAAAUAUAGUUAAAUGCAGUUUAUCCACCUCUAAUUCAGUAUUGAUCCACUUCUCCCGCGCAACAAGGAGGCUGAGUGUACUUGAUUUUAGUGCUUCGCUUCAGCAUCGUUAACUGCCCUGGAACCACGGCACCGUUUGGAAACUGUGGUUGACCUCAGUGAUACCCACUCUGAUUAGCUUAAUGAAAACCCUGUGAUAACGACAGUUUUAUUAGUAGUAAGGCUCCAGCUACGUGAGUCAUGCAACCCUAUGAAGAAUUCUUUUUCUCUUUUCUUUCAACAUAUAUAACCUCCGGCACGGCUCAAAAUCCUAAGCUUCAGAAUCUUAAGACAUCCAAUGAAAAUACAUUAAAAAAUAUAUAUAAAUAAAAAUAGAAAUAAAUAAUUAAAAAAGGCUUUGACAAUUAUUUAUCUGUAAACCUACAGGCUUUCAGUGAAACUCGUUGCCUUUUUGCAGCCUGACUCACGUGCCGCAAUUGCCUGAGGCCAGCAGUGCUGCUUCCUCCUGCCUUCUGCAGCUGCGGUGCUGUGCAGAGGAGAAGGACUGAAGAUGCUGCAGGUUGCCAGCCCCAAGCAGUGCCUGCAGCCUAGGAUGGGGAUGGAGCAGUUUAAAGCUGGAUCGGGGAUCUCAUGUUGCAAAAGCUUUGACGCUGCCAGGGCUUUAUCUGCUGCAGGAUUGAAGUGCUGGCUUCAUGCUGGCAACGGACCAAGCUGCCUCUGCUUCUCCUCUUUGUGCUUUGAAACUUUUCUCCUGUGGAACCCCCAUCAGUCCUGCUGACCCCCCUGAUACAUUGGAUCACUUGAAGAGACCUCCCUGAGGACAGCAUCUUGCUCAUGGCUUCCUUGUAUGCUCACACCUUCCUGCCUAUGUUUUGGAAGCUGUGCAUCAAACCAGAGCAGGAGAGCAGAGAAUGUACAAGGAUCCAUCCUGCAGCCUGCCAAGCACCUUCCUGCUUUCCAUGGCUUCCAUUUUCAGCACCUUGCAGGAUGAGGCCCUUUCUUAUGAACUGACAAGUCAUUAUCGUCUUUCCCUGUUUGGCAUUUAACGUCUCUUGGCAAAAGAUUAAUGAAUUGACUGGCUUUCAACAGGUUUUAUGAAGCAAGACAAGAGCAUGCCAGCACAGACAGAAUAUUAAACGCUUUCAGCAGGGAAGCCUCUCCUGCUUGUUUUGUGUCUGUGCAGCAAGUGUGUGUGCAGGCAUGAAGGGCUCUGAGGGAGCUGUUGGCUCAGGAUGGCAAGCAAGGGGGAAAGCUGCCAUAAAAGCAACAUGUGGCCUUUAGCUUACGGCCUUACCUCGAAUGAACCUCCAUUAACACUGCUUUCAGCCUGCUGAUUUCACACAGCCCUCCUUCCAUACCUUAAAGAUGGUUGUUAUCCAUGCCCACAGUGGAAAUGUAUGAUUUAGAGACUGGAGAACUUAAAGCAUCACUCAUAUUUCUGCGAUCAGCUCAGCCCAGUGGGAGUCCCCUUCCAGCCAUGCCAUCAGUGUUUGGGGGCUGUGAACAGAGCCUGGGUGCUUGAUACAGGAGUCAUUCAGCCAAAGGGUUCUGGUGGCAUCAGAAACCAUCAGAGCAGGGACCGCAAACCAGGUUUCAUGCUGUGGUACACGUGUUUCAGUCGUUGUGUUUUUAAAAUAUAUGGAUUGAGUGUUGGUUUAGGUCUUUAAAACAAAUGAACCAUUUCAUUCAAGGAAUAGCUGUGUUAGCAGGAACUGAAACUAUUACAAAUGCUUAUUUGCACAUGAGGGUAAAGUAAUGGAGGAUUGAUGAGAUCAAGCCAAAAUGCUCUGGAUUGUUAGAGAAAUUUCAGUCCUGGUCUUAACUUCCAACUCCUCAACUCACAUCCCAGAUCCAGGUGUUUCAUUCUCUUUAGUCACUGGAGAUAAUGGAGGGAACAGUCUGGUUUUGGAGAGCCUAACAAGAGAAAGCUGUUGCCUGUUGUCCUUGUUGUUAGAAGGUUCUCAUACUGUGAAGUACUGACAGUUUGAAGGGACUCCUGAUUCUCUUUACGUACAUUUUCCUUCAGAACCAGAGCUAGCCUUGGAGGAAUGGAGGUAGCUGGCUCCUAAAGCCAGCUGUAUCAUAUUGAAUGUGGUUAUCUUGCAUCCUUCAGCAAAAACAUCUUCCUUGGCAGUCUAGUAAGAUGUAAGUUGGAUGUAAGUUGGAGUAGAGGUUGAAAUACACUCUUUUUUCAUCCAUGUGGCUUGUCCUGGAAUGUGACUGUCUCAUAACAUGAAGGUCCCCUCCCUUUAUGCAGACAGGUAUGGGACUGUAGGAUGCUGCAUGGUUAUGCAAAUGCUGCAAAUACAUACAAACCAUUAUGUUCCUUUGCCCAGGGUUCAUCUGACAGUCAUUUUGCAAGCGGUUUCCUUUGAUACGACAUCAUGAUCAGCAUGUUCCAACUAGAAUGGUGACAUCGUUCCACACCUUGAACCACCCACAUGUAUAUCCCCACAGCCUCACCAGAUGCAAUACCCUUGUACAGGCAGGAAUUUCCCAGGAGAAAAAAAAUAAUAAAAUGAUUGAACCUACUUAAGGAGCUUGCAACACUAAGUUUUCUAUUGUGCCUUUGACGUCUUUUGCCAUUACUGCUAUGACCCAAAAUGGAGGCAUUUAAUGGCACAGGAGCAAUGAAUAGUAGGCACGCAAGAGCUUGGGCAAGCUUUGCAACAGAGCUGCAAUAGAAGCAGGUAGGAAUGUCAUAAGUAACAGUUUUUCUAACAUUCUGUUUAUCCAGGUACAAAUUCAUCACAAUUGUCCUAAAGCUGUAUUUUUACCUAUACUCAUUUAGGACUGUAUUAGUGCAGCUGCAGUUUUCGUGCUGACACCAGCCCUGGGGUGUACUAACAUUCACUCUGCCUUCUAAGAAUUUGGAGUGAGCCUGUGUUUUCUAGACUUUCAAGACCAGAGAGCAUUCUGUGCACAAGAAUGGAAGACACUGACACAACAUGUUUAAUUGCAGCUUGGAUUUUUGCUCAGUUAUUUAUUUGUUAUAAGUUCACUUCUUGGAGGCUCUUUAGCAGCAGGGCUGGUGGUCAGAGCUUGCACACUUCACGAAGUGGCAGUGACCACAUUGCCUGGUGCCAUCGAAGCACACUUUUGAUAGCUAGGAAGCCUGGGUUGCUUUCUGCAUGGGGGAGAAAUAUGCAGGCACUAAUUUGCAUGC